GACAGAGGUCCCGAGCGUUAGGCGGAAUCACUGGGCUUAAAGCGUGUGUAGGCGGACUUCUAAGUACCUUGUGAAAUCCCCACGGCUUAACCGUGGAACUGCUGGGUAUACUGGUUGUCUUGGGCCAUCUAGGGCUACUGGAACAAACGGUGGAGCGGUGAAAUGCGUAGACUAUCGUUUGGAACGCCAAUGGUGAAAACAAGUAGCUGGGGAUGUGCCGACGCUGAGACGACGAAAGCCCAGGGGAGCGAA
rnacentral:rRNA from 1 species